ACUUGGAGGCAGGGGGCAUUCUUCGAAUUAUGCCCUUAAUGUAGCCACCUGUAAGACCAGCCCUGAGAGAUUCAGUCCUCUUUCCCUACUCAUCUGUUAAGUGUUUACUGAACUUCUACUAUUAGCCAGGCAUUGGUCUAGGAGCUAGAAACUUAUCAGCGCACAAAGAAGACAAACUGUCAACAAAUAGGAGAUAAACACUAGGUGAAUCUAUGAGCUGUUUAUAAGGGAAGAGCGGGAACAGUACUUAGAUAACGUGGUCAGGGAAGGUAUCACAGCAGGGGGGAAAUUUUGGCCUGAAGACUGGAAAAAAAAAACAAGCCAGCCAGGCAAAUCGCCAGAGGGAAUGCAAGCCAGGCAAACAGAACAGCAAGUGCAUAUUCCUGAGUGAGAAAGAAGCGGCCAUGCUUAAGGAGAGAAGGUGGCCACAUGGCAGAGUGCAAGACAGCAUGAAAUAGAUGAGCUCACCAAAAGAUCGUCAGGGACCAGACCAGCAUGUGCCUGGGCUUGGAGACAGGGAGGCAUGAAAAAAUUGGAGGCUACUUCGGCAACCUUCCUCAUGUGAUCUGGACCACGAUGGUGGAAGUAGAAACGGAUGCAUGGAUAAACAGAUACAACAUUUACUGCAAUUGCCAAAGAAGCUGCCCAUCACUGUCACGCCAGCUGCACAGUCUUCACUGAGGGAGCUUCCAAGUGCCAUUUUAUUAAUGUGGAGAGAAGAAUAACAGAUCAUAAAUGUUUGAGGUCUAUCCAGCCGGAGUACAGGGGAUUAUCUAUUAUCCUGUGAGCUCGUGUUUUAUUCAUCUUCGUGUUCCCGUGAAUUAUACAGUGCAAAAACUGCUUAGAAGGCUUCCCCUCCUAGACAGCCCAACAGCACCUCAACCUCAGCCGGAAUGAAACUGAAUGUGUUACUGCGCACCCAAACAGAGCUUCUCUUCCUGCUUUCUCUCUCCUGAAUUCUUGACCAGGCGCAGUGGCUCACACCUGUAAUCCCAGCACUUUGAGAGGCCAAGGCAGGAAGAUCCCCUGAGGUCAGAAGUUCGAGACCAGCCUGGCCAACAUGGCAAAAUCCCAUCUCUACUAAAGGGAGAAUGGGAAAUGGAAAUCUGGACCUUUCUAGCCCAGAAGAGAGUAGAAGGACAAAGAGAAGCUGAAGGCAGGCAGGUCACACUGAUUCGUAACAUCUGUGUGUCAUGGUUUCCCACCUACCAGCUAUGCUGCAGAGCAGGACAUCCAAAAUGUACAUUUUCCAAGAUCCUGGUCAGAUUCUACUCAGAAGGAGCACUCACAUGUGACUUGGAAGGCAGAAGAGAAGCGGUCAUCACAGUGGUGCUCCUCUGGCAGUGAGGGGAACAUGUGGGCUUUGGCAGAUGUGCGAUUUUGGGUGAGCCGCAAGAGUUCUGGAGGCAGCUGCAUCUGCUGGAGACCUUACAGCCUGCUGCCUCUCUCAAAGCUAAGUCAUCUCCUGUAUUAAAUUCCUUCCUUCUUGAAAUGCCUGGAGUUGUUUCCAUUUCUUUGAACAUCCCUGAUGCAAUGGAACUUAACAGUUCAUCUUAUUCUAUGGUGGAACAGAGAACAUAUUUUUAGGAAAUGUUAGCAAGAGAUGAGCUUUUAUAAAUCCCUCCCCUCCUUAACCCACCAGCAAAUCCUUUUGCCUUGUCUUACAAGUCAGCUUGCAUAGUCACUUCCUAAUCCUGUGAUGAUCACUCCAGGGCAAACACCCCUAGCUCCCAUCCAGUCCCCCUCAUCUAACAUAAGACGUAGACAGAGACUCAGCACUACAGCUUCUUCUGGGUCCCCCGCAUUGCUCUCAUGGUCAAAGGUCUUCUGUGGCUAUAUCCUCCCACCUCAGAGCUUAAACGCUCUUACCAUCCAGUCCCUCCAGAGCCUGGCUGUCCCCAGCCACCUUUACAGCACUUCCCUAGCCCAUCACAUCUCUAGCCAGGCUGUUCUCCCUCCUUUCACCAGCACACCACAUGCAUCAUGCCUUGCUUCCUUCGUUCAAGCUUUCCCUCCCCGAGAAUGCCCAACCACAUUUGCAGAGACAGCUCAAGUCUUAGCUCCUCCAUGAAGACUUCUCUAACCACACAAAAUUCCAUCAAUACCUUGCUCCUCAGAACUGAAAUAUUUGAGCCAAGGAGAUUGCCUACAAAGUCCAGCUCAAAUUGUUGACCCAGAGACUUGGGAGUUAAAUGCAUGGCUAGCUUUAAACUACCAUCAGCCCUCUGUAUCCAUAGGUUCCACACCUGUGGAUUCAACCAAGUGCAGAUAGGA
rnacentral:lncRNA from 1 species